UGGAAGGCUGUGAAGGGAACAAGUAACAGACAGAACAGACACACAGAAAGCUGCCGGCUGAUGAGAGGCGCGUAGAUGACUGACUGCGAAUACAUCCCGGAGCUUCACACCGAAAUCUGAUGAUGAAAGUUCAACGAUUGAUAUGGACAGCAGAUCAGACAGAGAGUAGGCUGUGACGGAGUUGUGCUCGUUAUUGCACGAAUGAGACUGACAGAUAUCUUGUCAGUGAAUUAAGGUGGUACCACGGUGAUAGAUCGUCCUUAUU
rnacentral:ncRNA from 1 species